ACGGAUGCGAUCAGUGCGGUUGGCGGAGUGCUUGGUUUGGAGUCAGUUUCCGCUGUUUCGAUUAGUCUGGCCAACGCAUUGCAAAGAACGGCAAUGUCUGCAAGCUAAACGGUGGUAGUUAACGUACAAAUUGACCUGUGAAGAGCAUAUCCGCGAGGGAGAAGUGAAGUUGCGAACACAACCAUACACGCCCAAGAUGGGGUGUUGCUGCAGUGCCUCUGACUCCCAGGACAUUACGCCGGUCCCGGAUCGUCCGAUGCCGGCCGAAGAGUUUCCACCAGCGACGGCCUUCGGAGCGGAUAAUCUAGGCGCGGUGCCGGACAAUACCAACGAAAAUGGUUGAAUUGAGAUAGAACGGAUGGCGAACCAAAGAACUAAUCCAUCCAGCAGAGCAGAUGGUCCUGGCAAAUGUCACUGGUGUUAAUGAUGGAGGGGUUAAAUAAGAGUAAUUUAAAUCUGUUUGCUGUUUAGGAUUUGGGAAGACAAUAAACUGAGAAAAAAAACCUGAAA